UUCACUUGUGGCAGAUCACUCGGCUCGUGCCUUGAUGAAGAAGCUAGCUGUUAGAAUUAAUGUGAACUGCAGGACACAUUGAUCAUCGACACUUUGAAUGCACUUGCAGCCCCGGGUUCUUCCUAGGGCUACACCUGUCUGAGCGAAG
ensembl:rRNA n-R5-8s1 nuclear encoded rRNA 5.8S 1